UGGGGAGCAAACAGGAUUAGAUACCCUGGUAGUCCACGCCGUAAACGAUGUCUACUUGGAGGCUGUGCCCUUGAGGCGUGGCUUCCGGAGCUAACGCGUUAAGUAGACCGCCUGGGGAGUACGGCCGCAAGGUUAAAACUCAAAUGAAUUGACGGGGGCCCGCACAAGCGGUGGAGCAUGUGGUUUAAUUCGAUGCAACGCGAAGAACCUUACCUACUCUUGACAUCCAGAGAACUUAGCAGAGAUGCUUUGGUGCCUUCGGGAACUCUGAGACAGGUGCUGCAUGGCUGUCGUCAGCUCGUGUUGUGAAAUGUUGGGUUAAGUCCCGCAACGAGCGCAACCCUUAUCCUUUGUUGCCAGCGGUCCGGCCGGGAACUCAAAGGAGACUGCCAGUGAUAAACUGGAGGAAGGUGGGGAUGACGUCAAGUCAUCAUGGCCCUUACGAGUAGGGCUACACACGUGCUACAAUGGCGCAUACAAAGAGAAGCGACCUCGCGAGAGCAAGCGGACCUCAUAAAGUGCGUCGUAGUCCGGAUUGGAGUCUGCAACUCGACUCCAUGAAGUCGGAAUCGCUAGUAAUCGUGGAUCAGAAUGCCACGGUGAAUACGUUCCCGGGCCUUGUACACACCGCCCGUCACACCAUGGGAGUGGGUUGCAAAAGAAGUAGGUAGCUUAACCUUCGGGAGGGCGCUUACCACUUUGUGAUUCAUGACUGGGGUGAAGUCGUAACAAGGUAACCGUAGGGGAACCUGCGGUUG
rnacentral:rRNA from 1 species